CCAUUAUAUGAAAUAAGAUUUGAGAAGUCGCAUGCGUUUCUGCGGGACAGGUGUCUGUUACUGCUGAAGUGUUCUAGUAAAGCCCGGGCUUUUGUGCUGUAUAGGACCGGGCUUUUGUGCUGUAUAGGCCCGGACAUGCACACCAUACUUAUGAAAUACCGCUGGAGAUGGAUUGGGCAGGUCUUAAGGAAACCCAUCAAUGACAUCACUAGGGUCUCACUUCGAUGGACUCCAGAAGGGAAAAGAAAACAAGGCCGUCCAAAGACCACCUGGAGGAGAACUGUCGAAACAGAAAUGAGAGAGAUUGGCAUGACCUGGGGCAAAAUUGAAAAGGCUGCUAAAGACAGAGAGGAGUGGAAGAAACUAGUCCUUGCCCUAUGUGCCCACCGGCGCAACAAGGACUAGGUAGGUAGGUAGGCCCGGGCUUUUGUGUUGCAUAGGCCCGGGUUUUUGUGCUGUAUAGGCCCGGACUUUUGGGCUACGCCCGGGCUUUUGUGCUACCGUUGAUGUUAAACCCCUGACUGAUUGAUCACUUUUCAUUAUCUUCACUUUUCCCUUUCAAUUUCAAACUGUUUUAACGUAAAAAAUGUAUGGUACCACAUGUCAAAUGUUGUAAUAGUUGAUUUUUUUCAUUUCUAUUUUAUAAUUUCCCAUCUCUGGUAUGUCCCGGGGUCGGUGUUUGUCCAACUCUCUAUUUUGUAUUGCUUAUAGGAGUUACGAGAUUGAUCACUGUUCGUUAUCUUCACCUUUAUAGGAGUUACGAGAUUGAUCACUGUUCGUUAUCUUCACCUUUAUAGGAGUUACGAGAUUGAUCACUGUUCGUUAUCUUCACUUUUAUAGGAGUUACGAGAUUGAUCACUGUUCGUUAUCUUCACCUUUCAUUUGCACUGUAUAAUUGUUCGUUUAUAUCAUAUAUUUUCAUGUGUAUUCAAUAUUUUCAAUUUGUAUUGUAUAAUUGUUCAUUUGUGUCUUUUGGUGAAGGACCAAUCACUACCUAUAUUUACGUCUUAGGUUUGACGUGGCCAUGGCACGAUUGGGACUCGAACUCAUGACCUCCUGGUUACGAAGCGAAAGCUCUAAUAUUGAGCUACUGUGAUCGGUCUGGGUGGGUCAGUAAAUUGUAUGUUUUGUAAAUUUCAAAUGACGACUUUAUGGCAUUGUUAAACUUUGAGAUUUUGUUUCUCAUAAAGAACCAGAAAACUUCAGUAUUUGCUAUUUGAUAUCUAUAUCAUUAACUGUAAACUUUUACAUGUACGAUACUGAAUGUCUGCGUUUGAUGAAAAUAAUUCUUCUUUUGAUAUACAUUGAUUUCCAAACACCAUUAAUACAACAUUUUUAAAAAUAAAACAUUGAGUUUUCCUUGCAAAGAUGAUUGAUUAUCAGUUAUUUCAAAGUGCUACGUCAUUUGCAUAUUCUACCGUACCGGUAAAGAUUGUUGUAACGUGAAACAUAGUUAACAUUAUUCUUACUUAUCAGGUUAGACAGAUCGUUCAGGAUUUCGAAGAUAUUAGGUCAUAAUAUAUCUCCUUGCUUUACUCCUAGUUCAGUUAAUUUGUUGUCAAUUCUUAUUGAGAUAUAACUCUGUUUCUACAUACUGGAUAUUACAUGUAUAUAUUUUGUAAAACAAGUCAUUUAGAUGAUAUUGGAAGGGUUUUAAUUUUAUACCUUGGUGUAUUACUGUAUAAAAUGAUUUGUGAAAGUCAACAAAGCAAGUAUAUACUAUAUAAGCAUUUAUUACCAAUGUUAGUGUAUUUAUGUGGUCAGAGAAUCCAGCUUUUUGUAAAUCCUAUCCGAUUUUCAUAUAUGUGAUGUAAUUUUCAAAUUAAAAGCUGUU